rnacentral:rRNA from 2 species
UGGGGAAUAUUGGACAAUGGGCGCAAGCCUGAUCCAGCCAUGCCGCGUGAGUGAUGAAGGCCCUAGGGUUGUAAAGCUCUUUUGUGCGGGAAGAUAAUGACGGUACCGCAAGAAUAAGCCCCGGCUAACUUCGUGCCAGCAGCCGCGGUAAUACGAAGGGGGCUAGCGUUGCUCGGAAUCACUGGGCGUAAAGGGUGCGUAGGCGGGUCUUUAAGUCAGGGGUGAAAUCCUGGAGCUCAACUCCAGAACUGCCUUUGAUACUGAGGAUCUUGAGUUCGGGAGAGGUGAGUGGAACUGCGAGUGUAGAGGUGAAAUUCGUAGAUAUUCGCAAGAACACCAGUGGCGAAGGCGGCUCACUGGCCCGAUACUGACGCUGAGGCACGAAAGCGUGGGGAGCAAACA